rnacentral:lncRNA from 1 species
GUUUGAAGCAGAUGUUUACUGGAAUUUUCAGAAUCAUUAUUUGAAAUACAGCAGCUAGCUCUCUCUGAAUUGAGUGUGUCACCGGACUAACAAGACCAUUUUGAAAACACUAUCAAAACUUCUAAAAGCAUGAAUGCUGGCACAAAUUCCCCAAACAGUGAUAGCAGAAUAUAGGACUGGAGAACGUUUACUUCAGCGUCGCUGUGUAGACAAUGGAGAGAGACAAGCAGCUGCAGAGGGAAGAAAACAGAAUGAAUAAAGAAGUGUACAUUUGGAGUGAUGAUGUUACAAUCACCAAAGAUGAUCCUGGCCAUGCAUUUAUUCUUUUGAGAACAGAAAGCUUACUUGCCUUAAUCAUCACAUCACCGUGGAUCCACUCCUGUUGUGGAACAGACACUGGCCCUUCAGUACUGAGUGAAACUACUCUGACUGGGGAGGCGAUCCUGAAAGCUUUCUAUCAAUGGAAAUGUCUUUAAACAGAUUACAGUUAAAUCCAAUCCAAUCCAUUCUUCAGCCAAGAUCAUCUAAGGAUUCUUUUCAAACCACUUUUUAAACUUCUUUUUAUCAAGAACAGACAUUAAAAUUUGCUAUCC